CCCUGGCUCAGGACGAACGCUGGCGGCAUGCCUAAUACAUGCAAGUCGAGCGGACGUUUCAGAGAGCUUGCUCUUUGAAACGUUAGCGGCGGACGGGUGAGUAACACGUGGGCAACCUGCCCUACAGAUGGGGAUAACUCCGGGAAACCGGGGCUAAUACCGAAUAAUCAGUUGGUUCGCAUGAACCAACUCUGAAAGACGGUUUCGGCUGUCACUGUAGGAUGGGCCCGCGGCGCAUUAGCUAGUUGGUGGGGUAAUGGCCUACCAAGGCGACGAUGCGUAGCCGACCUGAGAGGGUGAUCGGCCACACUGGGACUGAGACACGGCCCAGACUCCUACGGGAGGCAGCAGUAGGGAAUCUUCCACAAUGGACGAAAGUCUGAUGGAGCAAUGCCGCGUGAGCGAAGAAGGUUUUCGGAUCGUAAAGCUCUGUUGUAAGGGAAGAACACGUACGGGAGUAACUGCCCGUACCUUGACGGUACCUUAUUAGAAAGCCACGGCUAA
rnacentral:rRNA from 1 species